rnacentral:rRNA from 1 species
CACGUAAGUGGCGAGCGUUGUUCGGAUUUAUUGGGCGUAAAGGGCGUGUAGGCGGCGUAUGAAGCUUGGUGUGAAAUCUUCCGGCUUAACCGGAAAUUCGCGCUGAGAACUGAUAUGCUAGAGUUUAAGAGGGGGAGUUAGAAUUCCAGGUGUAGGGGUGAAAUCUGUAGAUAUCUGGAAGAAUACCGGUGGCGAAGGCGAACUCCUGGCAAUAAACUGACGCUGAGGCGCGAAAGCGUGGGUAGCAAACAGGAUUAGAUACCCUGGUAGUCCACGCUGUAAACGAUGUGCACUAAGUGUUUGGGGGUUACCCUGAGUGCUGAAGCGAACGUGAUAAGUGCACCGCCUGGGGAGUAUGCUCGCAAGGGUGAA